AAAAUCCCGUCGACUUUCAUAAGUCGUGAGGGGCCAAGUCCCU
rnacentral:tRNA from 1 species